CCUACGGGCGGCAGCAGUGGGGAAUAUUGCACAAUGGGGGAAACCCUGAUGCAGCGACGCCGCGUGAGUGAAGAAGUAAUUCGUUAUGUAAAGCUCUAUCAGCAGGGAAGAAAAUGACGGUACCUGAGUAAGAAGCCCCGGCUAACUACGUGCCAGCAGCCGCGGUAAUACGUAGGGGGCAAGCGUUCUCCGGAUUUACUGGGGGGAAAGGGAGCGGAGACGGCAGUGCAAGGCUGGAGUGAAAGGCGGGGGCUCAACCCCCGGACUGCUCUGGAAACUGUACGGCUGGAGUGCAGGAGAGGUAAGUGGAAUUCCUAGUGUAGCGGUGAAAUGCGUAGAUAUUAGGAGGAACACCAGUGGCGAAGGCGGCUUACUGGACUGUAACUGACGUUGAGGCUCGAAAGCGUGGGGAGCAAACAGGAUUAGAUACCCCUGUAGUC
rnacentral:rRNA from 1 species